GGAGUAUUCCAGAGUAUCGAUUUUCCACAGAGAACGUGAGUGUACUAAUUAAGAUCCAAGAUCGUCCAAGGAUAACUAUAUAAUUAUUUUUGGUGGGAAGAGAGGAAGUUUCCUGAGAGUUCUCUAGUUGAUCUAAGAAUCAAGAAUUACUUCAAGAUUAUCUAUUUCGGGACAUCAGAACAUUAACCACAGAAAGAGAUGAGAAGGGGGCUAGGAAGCUCCGACUACGGUCCUACAAACACCGAUCCGAACGUGGUGGAAUACGUCGGCCGUUAGGGCUGUCACUACCCGGGCUACCACAACAAUCCGCAGGAUUAGGUGCAAUUCCAGGUAAUUGCAAGACUAAACACCACGUCUAAUCUAUUAAUUACUACUCUAAUGUUUCAAAGAUUAGAGCACUUGAUGCAAGCGGGAAUCCAAUAAAUAACUUGAAUGUAAAUAAAAGUAAUUAGAGAACUCAGGAGUUAUGAGUUGAAGAACCUGGAGAACGAUGAAGAACGAACCAGAUGCUG
rnacentral:lncRNA from 1 species